rnacentral:SRP_RNA from 1 species
AGCUAGGUCCCAGGUGGUGGUGAUCCGCGAACCCCGCCAGGACCGGAAGGUAGCAACGGUACCGGUUUCGUCCAGGUAUCUGGUGUAUCUAGCUAUC